rnacentral:rRNA from 1 species
UACAGAGGUCCCAAGCGUUGUUCGGAUUCACUGGGCGUAAAGGGUGCGUAGGCGGUCGAGUAAGUCUGACGUGAAAUCUCCGGGCCUAACCCGGAACUGCGUUGGAAACUACCUUGGUCUAGAGGAAUGGAGGGGAGACUGGAAUACUUGGUGUAGCAGUGAAAUGCGUAGAUAUCAAGUGGAACACCAGUGGCGAAGGCGAGUCUCUGGACAUUUCCUGACGCUGAGGCACGAAAGCAUGGGGAGCAAAAGGAUGAUGAACCCUCGUAGUCAGACCAAGAUCCA